GAGUCAAAAGGCGCUGACAUCAAAGAAAUAGAAGCGGGCGCGGAGGGUCCACCGCUGAGGUGAUUUUAACUACGCUCUCAACAUUAGUAAGGUUCAGAGCGUCAAUUUUGAGCUUAAUUCUCCCCGCUGCUGCGAUGAAAUUGCACGGAAGCGGUAUCAUCUGAUGCGGCCACGGUCCAAUUCUCACACUCAGCAGAAUUAAGAAUCAGAGGACUAUAGUU
rnacentral:lncRNA from 1 species